CGGUAGGCCCCGCCCACAGAGGAGGGUACCCCGCCGGAAGCCCCCUGCUCUGUGGGAACCGGAGGGAGGACAGCGCGAGGUCCCCGGACAAAGCGUGGCGCAUAAGUCCGGCCCGUAACUUGGUGGGCAGGCAACUUAGGGGAUGUGGGCCUGGUUAUAGCUGAGCAUGCUUUUCUAUUCCUCCCAGACCACAGUUCUUCAGACCUGGAGCCACUUUCAGAGAAGAGUAUAAGUUGCACUGAAUUGAAAAAGGGAAAAGUUUAGGACUGCAGAAGAUGGAAUUCCUGGGGACGUUAAACUGGGCUAAGAUGGAGCAGAUAAGAUUUCCUUAAUUAGAGCAAGACACACCUAGUAUCUAGAGCCUGGAAGUCUUGGUCAAGGAUUCUCCCUAACAUCUCAGUUUCUCAGCACUAACAUUCCUGCUACUAAAAUGAAGUGAGAAAUUAAUUUCUGAAGUUAAGUAAAGAAAUAAACUAAAAUUCCUAGAAAAGAGGUAAGAAGAAUGAGCCUUUGAAAAAUGUCUUCACAAAGACUGGCAUGAUGGCAUGGAAGAAAGAGCCCCAGAUAUCCAGUAUACAUCUCAAGGUCAACUUGUCCAAAACAGAGCUACUGAUGAUUUUCCCCUUGAAAUCUACUCUUCCUACAGCUUAUUCAUCUCAAAUAACACAUUCACUCUCAUGGCUUCAACUAGGCGGAAUGUGACUGACCAACAGUGUGGCUCAUCCUUGUGGAGGAGAACAGAUGCCAAUUAAUUUGACAUGACCAUAUCCAACCCAGGAAGUGGGUGGGAGAAUCUCACUCUAUUGCCCAGGCUGGAGUACAGUGGCAUGAUCAUAUCUCACUGCAACUUCUACCUCCUGGGCUCAAGCAAUCCUCUUACCUCAGCCUCCUGAGUAGCUGGGACUAUAGUCUCCCUCUCUUGCCAAGCCUGGACUGUACUGCCAUGAUCUCAGCUCGCUGCAACCUCCCUGCCUCGAGUUCUGGUGAUUCUCCUGCCUCGGCCUGACAUUCCAGGCAGGCGCCGCCACUCCUGACUGGUUUUUGUAUUUUUGGUGGAGACGGGGUUUCACCGUGUUGACCGGGCUGGUCUCCAGCUCCUGGCCUCGGGUGAUCUGCCCACCUCGGCCUCCCGAGGUGCUGGGAUUGCAGACGGAGUCUCGCUCACUCAAUGCUCAAUGUUGCCCAGGCUGGAGUGCAGUGGCGUGAUCUCAGCUUGCUACAACCUCCACCUCCCAGCCGCCUGCCUUGGCCUCCCAAAGUGCUAAGAUUACAGCCUCUGCCCACCCGCCACCCCGUCUAGGAAGUGAGCAGCGUCUCUGCCUGGCCGCCCAUCGUCUGGGAUGUGAGGAGCACCUUUGCCCGGCCGCCCCGUCUGGGAAGUGAGGAGCGCCUCUGCCCGGCCACCCCGUCUGGGAGGUGAGGAGCAUCUCUGCCCGGCCACCCCGUCUGGGAGGUGAGGAGCGCCUCUGCCCGGCUGCCCAGUCUGGGAAGUGAGGAGCGCCCCUGCCCACCCGCCCAUUGUCUGGGAAGUGAGGAGCACCUCUGCCCAGUCGCCCCGUCUGGGAAGUGAGGAGCGCCUCUGCCCGGCCGCCCCGUCUGGGAUGUGAGGAGCGCCUCUGCCCGGCCGCCCCGUCUGGGAUGUGAGGAGCGCCUCUGCCCAGCCGCCACCCCAUCUGGGAAGUGGGGAGCGCCUCUGCCCGGCCGCCCCAUCUGGGAUGUGAGGAGCGCCUCUGCCUGGCCUCCCCGUCUGGGAGGUGGGGAGCGCCUCUGCCCAGCCGCCCCGUCUGGGAGGUGAGGAGCAUCUCUACCUGGCUGCUCAUCAUCUGGGAUGUGAGGAGCACCUCUGCCCGGCCGCCCCAUCUGGGAAGUGAGGAGCGCCUCUGCCCAGCCACCCUUCGUCUGGGAGGUGAGGAGCGUCUCUGCCUGGCCGCCCAUUGUCUGGGAUGUGAGGAGCGCCUCUGCCCGGCCGCCCCCUCUGGGAAGUGAGGAGUGCCUCUGCCUGGCCGCCCCAUCUGGGAGGUGUACCCAACAGCUCCGAAGAGACAGCGACCAUUGAGAACGGGCCAUGAUGACGAUGGUGGUUUUGUUGAAAAAUAAAGGGGGAAAUGUGGGGAAAAGAAAGAGAGAUCAGAUUGUUACUGUGUCUGUGUAGAAAGAAGUAGACAUAGGAGACUCCAUUUUGUUCUGUACUAAGAAAAAUUCUUCUGCCUUGGGAUGCUGUUAAUCUAUAACCUUACCCCCAACCCCGUGCUCUCUGAAACAUGUGCUGUGUCAACUCAGGGUUAAAUGGAUUAAGGGUGGUGCAAGAUGUGCUUUGUUAAACAGAUGCUUGAAGGCAGCAUGCUCCUUAAGAGUCAUCACCACUCCCUAAUCUCAAGUACCCAGGGACACAAACACUGCGGAAGGCCGCAGGGUCCUCUGCCUAGGAAAACCAGAGACCUUUGUUCACGUGUUUAUCUGCUGACCUUCUCUCCACUAUUAUCCUAUGACCCUGCCACAUCCCCCUCGCCGAGAAACACCCAAGAAUGAUCAAUAAAUACUAAAAAAAAAAAAAAGUUAUUUCUUCUAAUCAAUAUUUCCAAGAGUUUCAACCUCUAAUUUUAAAUCUCUCAGUUUGAUUUCCUCUUUUACUGUCUUUCCUAAGGUGAUUAGCAUUUGUAAUUGCCAGAAGGAAUUAAGUCCCCCAAACCGUAACCUGAUGAAUCACAGAUAGUCAGGUCAAUCACCAGCCUUAUUAAAUAUUCACUUAAAAGUUUAAGUAGUUGUAUUUCAUCACCUAAAAGUUAUAAUUCUACAGUACAAAGGACUUUUUCUUAAAUUAACAUGAAUAACCAGUUAUGUGAUGAUAAAUAAACUUUUUAAGUAAGGAAUAAUCACUCAUUGGCCAAGACUCUACUAUUGUGAAAUCAUUAAAUGAAAAUGAUAAAAGCUUACAGUCAUCAAAUAAUUAACAUGUACCAAGCACUGUUCUACCUUUACAUGAAUCAACUUAUUUCAUUCUUAUAAAAAUUCUAUAGUGAACCUUUAUACUACUAUUGUAGUUUUAUGGACCUAGAAAUUGAGAUUAAGUAACUUGUUCAAGGUCAUAUAGUUUGUAAAUGGAGGAGCCAGAAUUCCAACCCAGGCCAUUUAACUUUGAGCCUGUGGCCUGGGAUGGAAUUCUGUUCUUAACCACUACAGUGUAGUGCCUUGGAAAUGUCACAUCCACACUUGUUUUGAAAUUGAGUUACUGAGGAAUUUACCACCUUGUGUUUGGCACCAAAAAUAUGCCUGAAAUGUUAAGAAAAUAGAAAGGUUUGUUUCAACAGCAAAAUUAUGCUGAAAUUAUCCUUCACUACACCUCCUCCUGCACACCUCUAUCUCCUGCCUGAAGCAAGUAUCCCGUCUCCAUCAGCACUCUUGCUCACUGAGCCCAGGCUGGGUCUCAGAAUCCUUCUCAGCACAACAUAUAAUAGUCAACAGUUGGCAUGCAAGAGGAAAUCUGCACACUAUGUCUAGCAGUACACUAAAAUGUGCAGUUUCGUAUAGCAUAUAUGAAGGUGUCAGUCUUUUCCCUUUCUUUUUGUAAUGUCUCUUAGGGAGACAUUGCAAGUUGGGAAGAGUUACUUUUACUUCCCUUACUGACAAUCCCAUUUCACAAUGUAAUGGUUUAGGUCAAAUUCUGUAGAAGUACCGCCUGAGACAGGAAAUAGCAUGCAUGUGGUUUAUUGAGGAAAUGCUUUCAGGAGACAGGGAGUAAGGAAAACUGAAUAAAGUAGAAGUUGCUAAGCAAGGAUAUUGUCUCAGAGUGUUACUUCAACCUGGUCAUACUGUAAAAGCAGGAGCACAAAUUGCCACAAAGAGUUGGUUUCUACUUGAGACAAACUAGCUGGCCCUUCUACCCCUACUUUGGAUGAAUCACUGGCAGUGAGUGCCCUCUUGGGGUGAGGGGUAAGUUUGGCCAGAGCAAAUCUCUAAAAGAGGGUGUAGCUUUAUGUCUUAGUGAAGCGGUGUCAUUGUCUGGAGUAAAUACCUGAGAUUUGUCAUCUCACACCAAGAAGAUUAAGGACAUGGACACACACAAGGAGUGACUUUAGGAGUGGAGGUUUAAUUGGCAAAGGAAAGAGAAAGGAGAACAGCUCUCUCUUUUGCGAGAGAGAGGGAUACCCCAAUGGGAAUUCUGGCCCAUGGCAGGGCGCACCAGAUUUUAUAGACAGGCUUGAGGAGGUGGUGUCUGAUUUACGUAGGGCCCACAGAUUGGUUAGACCAGGUGUGACAUUUACACAGUGCUUGGGGAAGGCUGGCCACUCCACCCUCAUCUUAUUAUGCAAAUGGGCCUUCCAUUUGGCCGGACACCAUGUUGUCUGCUCCUUACUGUACACGUGGCUGGCAAAGAGAAGGGAACAUGGAGCCACCAUUUUGAACAUGCCUAGUCCCAGGUAGCCUUUUUCUAUUGGCACAACUGCCAGCAUUCACCCAUGCAAGCUUCCAGCUUGCUUGUCUAUGUCUGCUGCUCAAUUUUACAGACUGCUGUUUGUUAGAAAAGAAAAUGACUUUGGGGCUGCUUUUCAUUAAAAAGAAAACCUUACAGAGGACUUCCUUACCCUCACUAUGUGCCUAAAUAAUUUCUUCUUAACUCCUAUAUCAUUAGGGGACAACAUUUAGCACCUAGGAAUGUGUGUACUGGCCUGGUAAAGAGGAUCUGGAUGGGCAUGAAUAGUGCUGACUACAGUGUCCUUUAAUAUUGUUUGAAAUUUUGUCCAUGUACACAUAUAACCUAUUUGAAGUAGUAAUUAUUCUAUACACUAGCAACAAUCAACCAGAAAAGCCACGUAAAAUAUGGCCUUUGAGCUCCUCUGUAUCAAGAUGUUGGAAGGACAAAUAAUAUGAAGAAUCACUAAAGGGACAUUUUUAUGGGCAAGAUCUGCCGGAGGAGGUGCACAUCACUUCUGCUCACAUAAGGGUAAAUACAAAUUAUAUUAUAUUAUUGUUCCUUGAUAUCCUUGGGAAUUGGUUUCAGGCCUUGCAGAUACCAAAAUCCUUAGAUGCUUAAAUCCCUCAUACAAAAUGGUGUAGUAUUUGCAUAUAAUCUACUAGCAUCAUCCUGUGUACUUUAAAUCAUCUCUGAGUUAUUUAUAAUACCUCAUAGAAGAUAAAUGCUAUGUAAAUAGUUGUAUACUGUAUUGUUUUAAAAUUUACUUUUUUAUUGUUGUAUUGUUUUUAUUUAUUUAUUUUUAAAUAUUUUUAAUCUGAGGUUGAUUGACUCUGAGGAUGCAGAACCCGCAGAUAUCAAAGGCUG
rnacentral:lncRNA from 1 species